rnacentral:rRNA from 1 species
UACAGAGGGUGCGAGCGUUGUUCGGAAUUAUUGGGCGUAAAGGGCGCGUAGGCGGUGCGGUAAGUCACCUGUGAAAUCUCCUGGCUCAACUGGGAGCUUGCAGGCGAAACUGCCGUGCUGGAGUGUGGGAGAGGUGCGUGGAAUUCCUGGUGUAGCGGUGAAAUGCGUAGAUAUCAGGAGGAACACCCGUAGCGAAGGCGGCACUCUGGGCCGGAACUGACGCUGAGGAGCGAAAGCGUGGGGAGCAAACAGG